rnacentral:rRNA from 1 species
AGCAGCAGCCGCGGUAAUACGAAGGGGGCUAGCGUUGCUCGGAAUGACUGGGCGUAAAGGGCGCGUAGGCGGCGAUCAAAGUCAGGCGUGAAAUUCCUGGGCUCAACCUGGGGGCUGCGCUUGAUACUUGGUUGCUUGAGUGGGGAAGAGGGUCGUGGAAUUCCCAGUGUAGAGGUGAAAUUCGUAGAUAUUGGGAAGAACACCGGUGGCGAAGGCGGCGACCUGGUCCUUGACUGACGCUGAGGCGCGAAAGCGUGGGGAGCAAACAGGAUUAGAUACCCCUGUAGUCCCUGUCCUCUUAUA